UUAAUUAUUUUAUUUUUAAAAAACCUUUGUCUUGGUGUAUUUCAAUAUAAGGAUCAUGCAACCCUUUACAUAUUUCCAUAUUUUCAGCAUAUUUUAUGCAAAUAGUUGUUAAAAAUGAAAAUUCUAAUUUCAAAUGAAGAAAAUUCAUGACAUGCAUCUUGUGUUGCAGUUUAAUCACUGUAUACCCGGGAAAGUAUUGACAGUUGUCCCGUGGAAGCUAUUAAAGUUCCUGUCCAAGGUUAAAUGAAAUUGCAGUUUAUCAGAGCAGCAUUGAGAAAAUAAGGGAAUCUGUUCAUGGCUCUUGAUUAAUGCCAAGCAUGAUCAACACAAGGGGGUUCAUUAAGCUAUACAUCAUGUGGGUAAUUUAACAUGUCAUCGUGCCUGCUGUCUGCUUUAACUCUCUGCAUAACCCAGUGUUCUGAACUUGUAUCAGCCUUGCACCUGAGGUGUUGUCUCCCAGACUUUGUCAUGCUUGGAUUGGCUCAACACUUUGUUUUUACACCAAUUCCUUUUUUAUGACCAUUCUGCUUUUUUAUGUACCAUUUACAAUUUCCACAGCUCUCUAUUUUUUUGUCUUGUCUAAAUAUGUGUAUAAUCUGGUAAGGUUUAUUCUAGAGAUGCAAGGAAUGUGUCCUUCAUUGUCUACAUUUUCCCUGAUUUUUAGGUGUUUCUACAUUUUGGGCAGUUGGCUUUGAACAAGGCAGUCAGAAUGAAAAGAAUUAGAUCCUGAUCUUGGGAGAGAACAGCCACCUCAAUUCCCAGUGAAGGGCUGCGUCUCCAUACAUGAUUGAUCCCCACAGCUUUCCACGUAACUGUUAACUCUGAAGGGUGGAGUACCCAAGGCUUUCUACAAACAAAUAUCUCCUGAUUACAUGCCAUUACCUGGGGGAUUUCAACCACACAAACAUCUGCUGAGAAGGCAGCAUAGCACUGUGCAAUCAAUCCAGGAAGUUUUUAGACUAUUGAGUGGAAUUUCAUAGCACAAAUGCCAACCAGAUCAUGCUUGACCAGCCUGGUUACUUGAUACGCUAGAAUGAGUGGCUAUGUGAAUACGGGAGGAAUGGUGGAUGCAGUGUUGUUUGACUUUUGCAAGGUUCUCAUGCCAUCUCCCACAGCCUUCUCGUAUAAGGAACUGCUAAAUUCAUUGAAACUUGUCUGGACUGUUGGACCCAGAGGUAUUUAUCAGUGGCUUCAUGCUCAGUUAGCUGAUAAUAAACAGACUACCAUGAGGUUGAUGAUACUGGGGUUGACACAGUUCAAUGUGUUCAUCAACAAAAGUGAUGAAACAGAAUGUGGUCUUAGCAAACUAGUAUUAGUUAAAAUGCUAAGCAGUAGAGAUUCAGUCCCGAGGGUCCUUGAGAAACUUGAGGAUUGAGACAACAUAAAAUCUAUUGAUUUCAGCAAGAAGUGCAGAGUUCUGCACUUGUGGCAGAGUAACCUCAUGUAGCAGUACAGGUGGGGAGAACCAGAUUGGCUGAAAAGGUCCUGAGGACACCAAGCUGACUAUAAGCCAAAAGUACACUCUUAUUGCAAAUCAGACAAAUCCUCUGCUUAACCAUAGGACUGAUGCUAGCAGAUUAAGGGAAGUUAUUAUCCUGUUAUGCUGGGUACUAAUGGUGCUGUACUGGGAAUAUUUGUAUCCUUGAGUUCUCCAGUUCUGAAGGGAUGUGUAGGAAAUGGA
ensembl:lncRNA